UCGGAAAUGGAAGCGGAGCUUGCUCCUUCCACUCCAUGCAUCGACGUGGUAUUGCAGUGUUUCCAUGAACGGUGCGCUCCCCUUCUCGGGGACAAAUAAGUUAGGUAAAAAUCAGAAUUUGUUUCUUUUGUGCGUGAAUGACAGAGUGUUUUUUAAUUCGUGUGUUUUAAAAGUGCUGUGUAUUCGUUGGCAUUAUUGGUUUAACGAAAAGCUUGCAUGGAAAUGAACACGCUGAUAACGAAAUGUUUUUGUAAUGUAUUUAAUUAUUUUCCUUACAGUUUGCGGAGGUGAUACCAGGACGAAUUAAACAGCCUCGACACAGCUGAAGGCGCAAGAAAAUCGUACGAGACAGUUUGGGAUGUUAAAAACACCUGAAAACUUUUUUUUCCACUACCCUUCAUACUACAGCGGUCGAAAAACCACAGCAACGUCGACACGCCUGGAAGCAUAGCUGUAUUUGUUUAAGACAACGGCUGUCGAAGAACCACAGCAACGUCGGCAGAUCUGGAAGCAUAGCUGUAUUUGUUUAACUCACAACGACAACGGGUAAGUCAUUGAGCCCUUGUGUUUUUAUUUAUCCACGUUCUAAAAUUGCUAUGCUUUCGUUGUUUCUCGAUUGCUCUGUACAUUUCUUUGUUUCUAUUCCACGUAAAGUUACUUUGUAAUAACGAAACGAUAUAUUGAAAUGCGCUAUUUAAAUCCAUUUGAUUUAAAUUGUUUCACGUUUUUCUCUCUGCACGGUUUAACCGGGCUGGAAACGGAAAAUGGGUAGAUCUCGAAGAAUAUUUGGUUUCAGACCUGGCUUCGUGCGCCUUUCCACCUGGUCACACACAGUAAUGAAAUGGUAGUCGGACGGCCUUCGGGGGCGCCGUCGAUGUGAUCGGUCACAGGAAGAUGCGGCCGUCUGGCCUCAAAGGCUGUUGCUCAUACUUACCUGGCAGGGGAGAUACCAUGAUCAUGAAGGUGGUUCACCCAGGGCGAGGCUCAGCCAUUGCACUCCGGUUGUGCUGACCCUUUGCGAAUUCCCCAAAUGUGGGAAUCUCGACUGCAAAAUUUCUGAUAGUGGGGGACUGCGUUCGCGCUCUCCCCUGGC